UACGUAGGGUGCAAGCGUUAAUCGGAAUUACUGGGCGUAAAGCGUGCGCAGGCGGUUUUGUAAGUCUGACGUGAAAUCCCCGGGCUCCAACCUGGGAAUUGCGUUGGAGACUGCAAGGCUAGAAUCUGGCAGAGGGGGGUAGAAUUCCACGUGUAGCAGUGAAAUGCGUAGAGAUGUGGAGGAAUACCAAUGGCGAAGGCAGCCCCCUGGGAUAAUAUUGACGCUCAUGCACGAAAGCGUGGGGAGCAAACAGG
rnacentral:rRNA from 1 species